rnacentral:tRNA from 1 species
GGUCGCGUAGCUCAGUGGUAGAGCACCACCUUGACAUGGUGGUGGUCGUUGGUUCAAGUCCAAUCGUGGCCACCA